AGUAAUAAACUACAAAAGACACCAUAUUGAAGUCUAGGAUUUCAAUUCACCACCAUUAUUCGAUUUUUCUUUUUGGUUAAAAAAAUCAUGAUUAGGGCAGGUCGUAACUGAUUACUUAUUUCUCAGUGAGAGCGUGUUGAUGGCUAGCAUGACAAGACGGUUCCACUUGUCAGGCCCAGCUAGCACACACAACUGAUUGUCUGAUCUGAC
rnacentral:lncRNA from 1 species